GUCCUUCCUGGUCUUUUGUUAACUGAUCACCUGUCUGGGCACCAAGAAUUGACAGCUUCAACUGGAAAACUCAUUUAGGUGGAGUUCUGAGCAAGUCUGCUAAUGAUGAACUUCCUUCUUCAGUUCUUGACAGAAACCGUCUCCAGUGUUUCCAUUGCCUCAACGCAGCUCGGAGGACUUCUCUGCCCACUGUGGUCUGGCUCCUUCCCCGCCCCCGGCACCCACUCCUCCUGGAAGGGCUGCUCCUGCCAAGGUCGUCAACAACCUCCUUGCUCCAGACCAUGCCCAGCGCGCCUCCUUGGUCUGCACUGUCCUUGGCAUCCUGUCUCCGGGGACCAGCUCCCAGGCUCGGCUCCUGCCUCUGCACCGCCUCCCUCUCCAUCUCUGUUGCAGGCUCUCCUUCCCACCCCCGGCCUUGAACACAGCCCUCCUCUGCUUUUUCCCCAUCACAACGGGGCUAUUUCUCCUGUGUGUCGCAGGCACCGAAUUUCAUUAUGUCACAAGCGGAGUGAUGCCUCUCAUACCCCCACCCAUACCUGCCCAGACCUGAGAGCUGCUGUCCUAUGCUCCCCGCCCAGGAAAGCCACCAUCGUCCACAAGGGGGCUUGUCCCCUCCCCCCCCCACCAUCCCCCACAAAUCGUUGCCCAGAGCUGCCCUUGACCUUUCAGAUCCCCUCACCUCUGCCUCCUUCCAUCCACCCCGGAUGCCACGAUUCCUGCCUGGAUUCCUGGAAGUGCCCCCUCACUAGUCUCCCUUCUCUCCAACCACUUCUCCAAACCACAGACCGAAUGCUCUUUCUAAAAUGAAAAUCUUGGAGUUCCCAUGGUGGCUCAGCAGGUGAAGAACCCAACAUAGUGUCCAUGAGGAUGCGGGUUCGAUUCCUGGCCUCGCUCAGUGGGUUAAGGAGUAGGCAUUGCUGCAAGCUGCAGUGUAGGUGGCAGAUGCUGCUGAGAUGCCAUUGCUGUGGCUGUGGCUAGGCUGGCAGCUGCAGCUCCCACUGACCCCUAGCCUAGGAACUUCCAUAUGCCGCAGGUUCAGCCCUUGAAAGAAAAAAUAAAAUAAUAAAAUAAAA
rnacentral:lncRNA from 1 species